UACGUAGGGUGCAGGCGUUAAUCGGAAUUACUGGGCGUAAAGCGUGCGCAGGCGGUUUCUUAAGUCAGAUGUGAAAGCCCCGGACUUAACCUGGGAACUGCGUUUGAAACUGGGAGACUUGAGUGUGGCAGAGGGGGGUGGAAUUCCACGUGUAGCAGUGAAAUGCGUAGAUAUGUGGAGGAACACCAAUGGCGAAGGCAGCCCCCUGGGUCAACACUGACGCUCAUGCACGAAAGCGUGGGGAGCAAACAGG
rnacentral:rRNA from 1 species